rnacentral:rRNA from 1 species
UUGGGUUUUGUUGGUUUGAAGUUCACUUGGUGCAACUGGCAAGACCCAGAGUGUCAUGUCAAGGUGCGGUUGGAUAGGGCAGUGGCAAAUGCAAGUUUCUUGAACCUGUUUGAGGAUUGUAAGGUAGAGAAUGUGAGAACCACCACAUCUGAUCACUGUGCUAUUCACAUUUGUCUCUCUUCAACUUCUUCGCUUUGCCAUUAGAGACCUGUGCGACAAGGCUUUAAAUAUGAAGCAAUGUGGCUUCGGACAACUGAUUACAGGGGGAUUGUGGAUCAUGUUUGGGAUGCUGGAAGGGAGGGCUCUUUAUCUUUUCAGUCUACCUGGGUGUAUCUGAACCGCGUCACUGGCUCGCUUCGUUCCUGGAGUAGGGAGUCAUUCGGUUCGAUCAGGAAGAAAAUUACCAAGCUGGAGCAUCGUCUUCACACAAUCGGAUCAUCCGCGACUUCUCCCACAUCUCUAAUGGAAUAACGAUCCAUUGAAGGAUAGCUCAACAAGUUGUUUGAGCGAGAGGAGAUAAUAACGCGACUACACUCCUGGGUGGAUUGGCUCCAGGAGGGCGACCAGAACAAAAGCUUCUUCCAUGCCUGAGCAACAAAGUGUCGGCGAACAAACAUGAUUUCCUUGCUGGAACGCGAGGAUGGUUCUAAAUGUAAGUCGCAAUCAGAGAUUAAAGGUAUGGUUGAGAGGUUUUAGGACACACUUUUCACUUCAGUACCUUAUUUUUCGGCUGAUGCUAUUCUUGAUGCCAUUCCUACCAAAAUUUCUUCGGAUAUAAAUGAGGACCUAUGUGGACCUUAUUCUAAUGAAGAGAUGAAGGUGGCUUUGUUUAAGAUGGGACCAACGGAAGCAGCUGGGCCUGAUGGCUUUCCGGCUCUUUUCUACCAAACCCACUUGCAUAUUUUGUAA